rnacentral:rRNA from 1 species
UACGUAGGGUGCAAGCGUUGUCCGGAAUUAUUGGGCGUAAAGAGCUCGUAGGCGGUUUGUCGCGUCUGCUGUGAAAACCCGAGGCUCAACCUCGGGCCUGCAGUGGGUACGGGCAGACUAGAGUGCGGUAGGGGAGAUUGGAAUUCCUGGUGUAGCGGUGAAAUGCGCAGAUAUCAGGAGGAACACCGAUGGCGAAGGCAGGUCUCUGGGGCCACUACUGACGCUGAGAAGCGAAAGCAUGGGGAGCGAACAGG